rnacentral:rRNA from 1 species
AUGGCCUGGCUGCAGGCCGUCAGGUCGGUUAGCAAUUCGACUACAAUGGUUUCCAUGGGUACUGCCUGCCGGAUGCUCGCCCUGAGACCCCUCCUCGUCUCCUCUGUUGUGCGACCGAAAGGAGCCGCAUCUGGCGUGGGACAUUGUUUGGCGUCGCAGUAUGCCCUGUCCGAGGCAUGUCGUUGGGAACCGGCCUGGGCCAUGAGGGCAGCAAGUAAGGCGAGGACCAGUGCCCUCCCACCUUGCUACCUCCCUCACCCUCUCAGGCUGAUUUCAAUCUCACGCCAUCUUGCUCGAGUACAAAUCAAGUACAUGAUAUGCUCAUUUCUUUUUCAGACCUUGAUGGUGCGCUAUACCCGGUGA